rnacentral:rRNA from 1 species
CAGUCGCCGCGGUAAUACAGAGGAUGCAAGCAUUAUCCGGAGUGAUUGGGCGUAAAGCGUCUGUAGGUGGCUUUUCAAGUCCGCCGUCAAAUCCCAGGGCUCAACCCUGGACAGGCGGUGGAAACUACCAAGCUGGAGUACGGUAGGGGCAGAGGGAAUUUCCGGUGGAGCGGUGAAAUGCGCUGAGAUCGGAAAGAACACCAGCGGCGAAAGCACUCUGCUGGGCCGACACUGACACUGAGAGACGAAAGCUAGGGGAGCAAAUGGGAUUAGAUACCCCCGUAGUCCCUGUCUCUUAUAC